GAAAUGCGAUAAGUAGUGUGAAUUGCAGAAUUCAGUGAAUCAUCGAAUCUUUGAACGCACAUUGCGCCCCUUGGUAUUCCAUGGGGCAUGCCUGUUCGAGCGUCAUCUACACCCUCAAGCUCUGCUUGGUGUUGGGCGUCUGUCCCGCCUCUGCGCGCGGGCUCGCCCCAAAUUCAUUGGCAGCGGUCCUUGCCUCCUCUCGCGCAGCACAUUGCGCUUCUCGAGGUGCGCGGCCCGCGUCCACGAAGCAACAUUACCGUCUUUGACCUCGGAUCAGGUAGGGAUACCCGCUGAACUUAA
rnacentral:rRNA from 1 species